GACAUUUAGAAUAAUACAAAGAUUUCUAUCUCAAAUGAAUGUUAUUCUUUUGAACUUUCUGUUCUUCUGUGA